AGCAGUCGCCACGGUAAUACGAAGGGGGCUAGCGUUGCUCGGAAUGACUGGGCGUAAAGGGCGCGUAGGCGGCGGCCAAAGUCAGGCGUGAAAUUCCUGGGCUCAACCUGGGAAUGGCGCUUGUGACUGCAAAGCUAGAGUGCGGCAGAGGGGGAUGGAAUUCCGCGUGUAGCAGUGAAAUUCGUAGAUAUUCGGAAGAACACCAGUGGCGAAGGCGACUGACUGGACAAGUAUUGACGCUGAGGUGCGAAAGCGUGGGGAGCAAACAGGAUUAGAUACCCCCGUAGUCCCUGUCUCUUAUAC
rnacentral:rRNA from 1 species